rnacentral:rRNA from 1 species
UACAGAGGGUGCGAGCGUUGUUCGGAAUUACUGGGCGUAAAGGGCGUGUAGGCGGUUCGUUCAGUCAGACGUGAAAUUCCUGGGCUCAACCUGGGGGCUGCGUUUGAUACGUGCGGACUUGAGUGCGGAAGAGGGUCGUGGAAUUCCCAGUGUAGAGGUGAAAUUCGUAGAUAUUGGGAAGAACACCGGUGGCGAAGGCGGCGACCUGGUCCGAUACUGACGCUGAGGCGCGAAAGCGUGGGGAGCAAACAGG